AUACUGCUGUUAGUGGCGAGUGGUUCACUUACCCUGGCUAAGUUGGGUGUUUCACUUAACUGAAAACGGUGUCAUAGUGUAUGUUUAGCAAUGUAAUUUAGUAACAGUAAUUAUGACAUAUUAAUUAAUGAUUUACUUGGAUGCUGGUGUUAGUGGCGAGUGGUUCACUUACCCUGACUAAUUUGGGUGCUCCGUCUAACUGUAAACAGUGUACCAACCUAAUCUAACCAUCCCUAAUCCUUCAUAACCUCGCCUAACCCUGAAAGGAAAUGAUGAGUACUGGUUGAACCAUGGCUUGCAUCAUUGAUUCCUGACGAAUGUCCAGUUGUCUCAAGUUUUAAACACAUAACCCUAUACACUCUAUUUCUGAUUAGUACUACUUGCUACCUUGUACUUGGUAACACUGUUUAUGCAUGGGAUGUCUUUUAAUGUGUAAUGUGGUUUUAUCAAUACAUAUUUGCUAGAAUAAUCAGAUGAGAAUCAUUGUCUAGCUUGGUUCAGAGUUUGGACACAUUUUUGUGCUAGUCUUUACUGCAAGCAUGAUGGAGAAGUGGAAUGAUUCUUGCACAAGAUUUUGGCGAUGGGGCAGCAAGAAACCAAAGUGGGUGGAAAAUGAAUGAUUGAAAUUGAACAGAGAUAUGGGGCUGAGUUUAAAGACAUUGAUAAUUCAGAUGCUUUGCUGCAAUGGAGCUGAUGAUGGUGCAGUUUUCCAGCAAGAUGCAGAAACCAGUUCGACAAGAAGUCGAAGUUGAUAUAUCUGAUUAUCACUUGUGAACUUGGAUGUAUUAUUGCCUUUGGAUAUCAUGAACAAUUGACUUUCUUGUCGACUCCCUCUGAGAAGUGGUCUGAAACAUGUAAGAUAACUCAACCAAGGACAAAGAGAGUUGAAGGCAGGUGGCAAAAGAAUGAAUGACUUAGUCAGAAAAUAUGAAUAUGAUCUUUUGAAUAUGAAUGUGGAAGGUCAUACUCAUGUACUAUUGUCAUGCAUUGGUGAAGGUCAUACUCAUGUACUAUUGUCAUGCAAACGCCAAAUACCAGCUAUAGAUGCUGUGAUCAAGUAUUUAUUACGGAAAGUGAUGAUGCAGAGUCCACAGUAGACAAGGUUUCUGCAGUUGCUCCAUACUUGAUUGUAUGCAGCAAUCCAGCCAAACCAAGCCAUGUUAUUGGCAUCCGAGCUCAUCAUCAUGUUUGAAAUUCAGUGCAGCAACAGCAUAUGCCUUCCAGCGCUAUUGCUUGCUGUAAUUUAUGUUUUCAAUACACAUUUUCCUCAAUCUUUAGCAACUUUUUACUGGUGCCUGGAGGCCCUGUUACUGGGAUGUAUUUCAGCUCCAGUGAUAUCUAGUUUUGUAGCUGGAUUGCAAUGAGGAACUUUGUUUGAUGAAUUGUGUUUUGCUUUUUGUUUAGUGCGUUGAUUCACUAUGUUUGGUUUAAAUGUUAAAUACAAGCAAUGGUAUUAG